CCAAAAUGCCAAUUUUCUUCUUCUCUUUACUCUCCACGUACACAGCAAGAAUGAAGUGAACUCUUCAUUCCUCUCCUUCCCUCAAUUCAGUCUUGAUUCAUGCCUUGAUCUCCAAGCCAUUUUCCUUCUCAUUCACUCUACUUGACUCUACAAAUCAGACACAAUUUCAACUAAAUUCCAACCAAAAAACAAAAAUCAAAUUUCAAUUUCAUUUUCUCAGUUUCUCUGAUUCGAACCAUCUCCCACCACCAUUAGUCACCACCAACAACCACUGCCACCAUUAACCGCCCCACCUCCCGGCUUCGUUAGCCGACCACCACCGCCCUACCACCAUUACUCAUCCCACCUACCUUCAUCGCCGGCAAGAACCCGACCCAAAUCCCCCACUCAACCUCCCCUGCUUCCCAGUUUUCGCACCCCACCCCUGCCUUGCUCUCCUCUGCACUCAUCCUCCGGCACCGCCGUGCCACCACACUCCACAUCCCCUCUUGUUUGCGCAGCCACCGCAUCCCAUGAACCACCCAGCCCACAAAUCCCCUGUCUCCCCUCUUCUUUACGCACAACCUCCCUCUCUCCCGUCAUCCUGCCGCCGCGAAAUAACCACCACCACCGUCGCCUUAGACGGCGCAAUCCGGCAGCACCAAACCGCCCAAUCGCCUUCUUCCUUCCUCUCCUCCUCCCUUUCGUGUUCUCCUUUCUCGGCCCCCUCCCCUGUUUUCUCCCCUGUUCGUGUCUUCCCUCCUCCCCUCGUGCUCUUCCGCCGCAAAUCACCUUCCACCGUCGCCUCUGGCGCGGGUUGGCGUGGCUGCGCCGCCCAGCUCAGCCGCCCUCCCUCCUCUCCUCUCCUCUCUUUCGUGCUUCUCUGCUUGCAUCCCCUUUGCUCGUGCUUUCCUUUCCAGAAAACCAAAACCAAUAUUUGGUCCUUGGUUUUUAUUCUCCUUAAAACCCACAAGUUAAUUGGGCCACUCUAGUUUGGGCUUUUGAAAUUGGACUCGGGGCUCAGGAAGGACGAUCCAUCAGACAGGAAGUAUAAAAACUACGGUUGAGGUACUGCGGGAAUCGAUGGAAACGCGUAGAGGCGAGGAAUUUCACUUUUAUAUUUUUCACCUAGUUUAUGCUUGAUGUUUAUAAUAGUUUAAUUUAAAGACUUUUAGUAAUUUAUGUACUUGUAUUUUGGGAAUAUAAAUGAUUAUUAUAUUAAUUUGGAGGUUUUUAUGGCUUAUGUAUGAUGUUGCCUUGUAAUUUCCAAGAGGGAAUUACGGCAGGUAAUGUCCCGACCAAAUUAGGUUAAUUCCGCUGCUAAUUAUGCUUUAAUAAGUGAUUUAGAGGUCGGGGCG